rnacentral:rRNA from 1 species
CGAGUUUGAUCCUGGCUCAGAUUGAACGCUGGCGGAAUGCUUUACACAUGCAAGUCGAACGGUAGAGGGGGCAACCCCUUGAGAGUGGCGAACGGGUGAGUAAUAUAUCGGAACGUGCCCAGUCGUGGGGGGAUAACGUAGCGAAAGUUACGCUAAUACCGCAUACGAUCUACGGAUGAAAGCGGGGGAUCGCAAGACCUCGCGCGAUUGGAGCGGCCGAUAUCAGAUUAGGUAGUUGGUGAGGUAAAGGCUCACCAAGCCGACGAUCUGUAGCUGGUCUGAGAGGACGACCAGCCACACUGGGACUGAGACACGGCCCAGACUCCUACGGGAGGCAGCAGUGGGGAAUUUUGGACAAUGGGCGCAAGCCUGAUCCAGCAAUGCCGCGUGCAGGAUGAAGGCCUUCGGGUUGUAAACUGCUUUUGUACGGAACGAAAUGGUGAGCUCUAAUACAGUUUGCUAAUGACGGUACCGUAAGAAUAAGCACCGGCUAACUACGUG